rnacentral:lncRNA from 1 species
CGACCAUUAACUUUUAGUUUGACCUAAAGUCAUAAUAUACAUUGUUGAAACAUUCAAACAAUUGAACAACCAAAAGCAAAGAAAUUUCACUUUAAAGCUCACUGCCCUUAAGAUAUGCUUUUCUCCGAAUAACUUCUAGACAUUCCCACAUUCAAUAAAAAUUAUAUAAAACAUACUUCCUCACCCAUUAUCAUCUGAAGCCAGAAGUUGAAGAUGAGCUUUCUCCAAACCAAAGAAGUUACCUUAUAUAUGUGAUACAGACUUGUCUCUUUUCUUUAAACAAAGAUGUUGUCUCACUCUUGUUUAAGUGGGUUAUAUUAAAACUCAAC